rnacentral:lncRNA from 1 species
AUCUUAAAACUUUUGAUUGCCAUAAGAAAAACAAACACAUAACCAUAUACGCUUAAUGCUUGACUUGCUAUGACUAAUUGGUUAAACUUGCUCGAGGAUAUGGGACGGAAGCUGGUCUCCCAUGUGUUACCGCACGCGGUUAGCCAAAAUCCGAGUUAAGAAUGCCAUGAGCGUCUUGACAUGCGGUGGUGAAUCUAAUUGGUUAAACUUACAACCAAUGUUUUCUUUUUAACCGCCUGGUCAAUGUUUGUAAUACUUAAUAAUUCUCUUGACUAGUUAUAGCUCUUAUGUCCACAUCCACACAGAUUAUGCAACAAUUCAAAGGUUAUGUAUGACUUUACAAAUGAAAAAAUGAAAUUGAAAUAAGGGAAAACAUGAGUAGGAAAUAAAAUCAGUGUAUAGCCGCGCGGUACGUAGUGAUAUGUCGGCAAAAAUGUUGUGUUUAAAUGUAGUGACGAAUAUUGUCAUACGAAAAAGAGAAAACAAUGUUCUUAUUGAGCUACAGCAUCAACGUAAGUGUCUUAAGAGUUAAAUCUUACCAUCUGCUGUGUCCAAUGUCCACUACAUAUGUUAUCAUGGUUUAGUGAUAAAGUUGGUUUAGACUUCGUUGGAAAUCUGACGAAAAGGUCGAGUACAAAAU